rnacentral:lncRNA from 1 species
UUUUUUUUGAAUUCUCGUGGUGUUGGAAGAGCUAUAAAAAUGUAGUGUGUGUGUACUGUUUUUGAAUAUUGCUCAAAAUAUGCAUGUGUUUGUUCUUUUUGUUUGUUUUUUGUUUUGUUUUUGAGACAGAGUCUAUGUAGCCCUGGCUGUCUUGGAACUCACUUAGUAGACCAAGCUGGCCUUGAACUCAGAAAUCUGCCUGCCUCUGCCUCCCAAGUGCUGGGAUUAAAGGGGAGCACCAUGACCUCCCUGUAUGUGCCUGUAUUUGUGUUCCAGCUUCUCUUCUGAACAGAGAACUUACUAUAUGCUGACAUUACAACAAGUUAUUCUAGAGGUUCAUGGAUAGUCACCUUGAUGGUCACUGGUCUUAACAGUUGUCUGUAGCUAUCUGGUUUUCUGUCCACUUACAAGCAGUGCAAAUGUUACCAUAAGGUGUCCAGGAGUCUGCCAGUUUGUUGAUUCCCUAUAGCCUGCUUGCUUUUCUAUGGCCAGAACUCUUUUCUGUAUCACAAUGAGCAAUAAAUUUCAGUGUUCUUAUUUUUUAUUAAUUAUCUAGUCAGAAGUAUUGUUACAUAGCCUGAAUAGACUAACACAUUUACGUCUCCCUUUCUUCAUUACUCUUUUUUUCCUUCCUUACUAAGUAGCCAAAGCUGGCCUUGAACUUGGAACCCUCCUGCUUUAACAUCCCAAGUACUAGGGUUACAGAUUUUUUUUCUGUUUUCCUUGAUUCCUUUGUCACCUUAUUUCUUUAUCUUAAUAAAGAUUAAUUUAUUUUUUGGGAGGGGGGCUGGAGUGAUGACUCAGUGGUUAAGAGCACUGGUUGCUCUUGCAGGAGACCUGAGUUCAGUGCCUAGUAUCUUUCUUCAUGGCAGCACUGAACUUUCUAUAACUCUAGUUCUAGGGGAUCAGAAGUCUCUUCUGGACUUCACGGGCACCCGGAAUGAAGUGGUGCAGGCCAUAUAUACAAGCAAAACAUCCAUUAGAUAAGCAAACGAGACAGGUCUCAUGGAGCCCUGGCUGAUCUAGAGAUGUCUAGACCAGGCUUCCCUCAAACUCAGAGAUUCACCUGGGAGUAAAGGCAUGUUCCACAAACCUGGCUUGUUACUCUGGUUUUUGUAACACACCCUCCCUUCCUCCCUUCCUCCCCCGCCACCCUACCCUUGUAUAUAUGUGUGUGUGUGUGUGUACACUCAAGUGUGCAAGUAGAGGUGGUAGUACUGUGCAGGAGUCACUUCUCCUACCACAUGGGCCCCAGGGAUUGAGCUCUGUGUGUCAGGCUUGGCAUCAAGCACUUUUACCUGCUGAGCCAUUUUCCAGCUCUUCUUGCUGCUUUCAUCUAGUCUAGCCUAGGGGUGUAGAUCAGUGAUAAAAUACUUAUUUUAGAUGCACUAGUCUUGAGUUCAUUCCCCAGAACUUGGGGGGUUGGGGGAAGCAAACCAAAAUAAAAAACAACAUCGUUUUUCACCUCUGACCUCAUCUAGGAUUUUUUUCUAAUCGCAAAAGCAAGAGGUUUAUUUUCCUGUGCAUCAGGGUUGACCUUCAAUUAGUCCCUCUAAUUAGAAGGUGACCCUCUCAUCUAGGAUUUUUUUUUCUUAAAAUUUAUUUAUUUUAUGUAUAUGAGUACAGCUUUCACUGUCUUCAGACACAAUAGAAGAGGGAAUCAUAUCCCAUUACAGAUGGUUGUGAGCCACCAUGUGGUUACUGGGAAUUGAACUCAGAACUUCUAGAAGAAGUUAACCGCUGAGCCAUCUCUCCAGGCCCUCAUCUAGGGUUUUAAAAAGUUCUUAUUUAAGUAGAGAAUUCUUGGCCAGACUAUUACUUAUCGUCCUUUUUUCUUUUUUAUUGAAAGUAGAUUUUUUUCUCACAUAAUAUAUCCUGUUUAUUGUUCCACCUCCCAGACUCAUCAGCUUCUUU